GUGACAAAAAAUAACGAUACGGGACUCUUAUGAGGCCCCGUAAUCGGAAUGAGUACACGUUUAAAUCCUUUAACAAGGAUCCAUUGAAGGGCAAGUCUGGUGCCAGCAGCCGCGGUAAUUCCAGCUUCAAUAGCGUAUAUUAAAGUUGUUGCGGUUAAAAAGCUCGUAGUUGGUUCUGCGUGCCACGCUGUCGGUUCGCCGCCUGCCGGUGUAACUGGCAUGCCGCGGCAUGUCCUGUCGGUGGCGUUCGGGAGCCUCGUCUAGGCACCGGCCCUCGCCCAAAAGCUUGGUGCUCGGAGGCCGGGGGUAUACCCGUUCGCCUACUCUAUCCUACCUAGGUGCUCUUUACCGAGUGUCGAGGUAGGCCGACACGUUUACUUUGAACAAAUUAGAGUGCUCAAAGCAGGCUGAAAUCUCCGCCUGAAUAGUGGUGCAUGGAAUAAUAAAACAGGACCUUGGUUCUAUUUUGUUGGUUCUUAGGAACACAAGGUAAUGAUCAAUACGGACAGGCGGGGGCAUUCGUAUUGCGUCCUCCGAUGAGGCGGGGCCGGGAAACCAAAGCUUUUGGGUUCCGGGGAAGGUAUGGUUGCAAAGCUGAAACUUAAAGGAAUUGACGGAAGGGCACCACCAGGAGUGGAGCCUGCGGCUUAAUUUGACUCAACACGGGAAACCUCACCAGGCCAGGACAUUGGAAGGAUUGACAGAUUGAUAGCUCUUUCUUGAUUCAGUGGGUAGUGGUGCAUGGCCGUUCUUAGUUGGUGGAUCGAUUUGUCUGGUUAAUUCCGAUAACGAACGAGACUCUAGCCUAUUAACUAGGCGUUUUCCGGUGUCCCCGCCACCGGCGACAAUCAUUCUUCUUAAGGGGACAGGCGGCUUUUAGCCGCACGAGAUUGAGCAAUAACAGGUCUGUGAUGCCCUUAGAUGUCCUGGGCCGCACGCGCGCUACACUGAAGGAAUCAGCGUGUGCCUCCCUGGCCGAAAGGCCCGGGUAAUCCGCUGAACCUCCUGCGUGCUAGGAAUUGGGGCUUGCAAUUGUUCCCCAUGAACGAGGAAUUCCCAGUAAGCGCGAGUCAUAAGCUCGCGUUGAUUACGUCCCUGCCCUUUGUACACACCGCCCGUCGCUACUACCGAUUGAAUGAUUUAGUGAGGUCUUCGGACUGGCGGUAAUCCCUACCGACUCGUCGGUAUCGAUGAACGCUGGGAAGAUGACCAAACUUGAUCAUUUAGAGGAAGUAAAAGUCGUAACAAGGUUUCC
rnacentral:rRNA from 1 species